rnacentral:lncRNA from 1 species
AGUUACUGCCACUGAGCCAGGUGAGAGUCUAGUCAGGAGCCCUGAGCUGAGCAAUGUGGAGUUCUCAGUGAUCCUUGUUCUUCAUAGAGGAGCUGGGAGGAGGCACCUGGUCAGAGGGCAAUAAGAAGAAAACAUGACAGUUUGGGGAACUUGUUCAGAGAUGUCCAGCCAGCAAAACCAGCAGCUGUACCAUCCCCCUCCUAAAUGCUAGACCUCUGAGUGCCUUCGCAAGUGCCCUCCCCAGACUCCUGCUCUACUGUCUUCCUGCUGCAGCUCUAACUCCGAAGGAUGCUGCAGGGCUAGCUCUGGAGGACCAUACAGCUCAUUUUCCCACUGGAGGAGGAAAUCCAUCAGACGUCGUCCCCAAAGCUCUGACUGUGGGGACAGUGGAAGUGGGAGGAGUUGGAAAUCUAGGGCGUGUGAGGAGUGCGGUGGCAGCUGUGGGGGCUGCUGCUGACUCGAUCCUCUCAGCCCACAAGCAUAAUAUUGAAGGAACGAGGCCAAUGAUCCUCCCCUAGCCCAUGCUUCUCUUCUUUUUUCUUUUUGCUUUUUGGUGAGGCAAUCGGGGUUAAGUGACUUGCCCAGGGUCACACAGCUAGUAAGUGUCAAGUGUCUGAGGCCAGAUUUGAAUUCAGCUCCUCCAGACUCCAAGUCUGGAACUCUAUUCACUGUGCCACCUAGCUGCUCCUUUUUCUCCUUUCCCAAUCCUCUUUCUUUACCCCUCUUCCUUACUCUUUGAGCUUGAGAUGCUAAGAGGUUCUAGUGAGGAGCCCAAGGCUCUCUUCUAGGGGAUUCAUCCCAUUUGUUCUCCUGGAAUCCAAGUCUGCUCCAUCCCCUGAGCCUCUCUGAAACCCUCCCCAGUUUAUAUCUUCCAGCCUUGCACCUUCCUCUGGGGACCAAUAACAUUUCUCCUUGGUACUAUCUGAUUCUUGGUUGUUUCUGUGCCCUCCAUACAAGCUAGUUCUCACUGCCAAUGAGAUAAUGUUUAUAAAGCACUUUGCAAGCCUAUAUAAACACUAUGUAAAUGCUGGUAAUAAUUAUCUUUACCUUUCCACUCAGCUCCCCACUGCUAGGCUGCUGCUCUGAGCUAGGUACUGAGUCUGGAGGUGGAAGAAUAAGGCCUGUUUUUCUCUAGGCAAUAUGUAACCCUCAACUUUUCAUUCUCACUUAUUCCGCAAUCCAAUUUGUUGUCAAAUCUUAUUAUUUCUACUUUCACAACAACAUCUAUCUAUCUACCUAUCUCCCUCUCUCCAUUCAUAAAGUUUACACCCUAGUUCAGUCCCUAAUCAUCUCACACCUGGACUAUCAGCUACUGUCUCCCAAUUAAUCUUCCUGUCUCCACUCAGCUUCAAAAGUGUUUUUCUAAAAGCAUAGGUCUGACUGUUCACUGGCCUUCAGUGGCUCUUUAUUACCUUCCGGAAGAAAUACAAACUCCUCUGUUUGGCAUUUGAAGUUCUACACAAACUGGUCCCCUUUUGCCUUUCCACGUUUCCACUUAACUUCUUUAUCUCCAUGCAC